AACCCUUCGGACCUCAUGGUCCGGAGCUGAAAGACGGUUAUGCUGUCACUUACAGAUGGGCCCGCGGCGCAUUAGCUAGUUGGUGAGGUAACGGCUCACCAAGGCGACGAUGCGUAGCCGACCUGAGAGGGUGAUCGGCCACACUGGGACUGAGACACGGCCCAGACUCCUACGGGAGGCAGCAGUAGGGAAUCUUCCGCAAUGGACGAAAGUCUGACGGAGCAACGCCGCGUGAGUGAAGAAGGUUUUCGGAUCGUAAAACUCUGUUGUUAGGGAAGAACAAGUACGAGAGUAACUGCUCGUACCUUGACGGUACCUAACCAGAAAGCCACGGCUAACUACGUGCCAGCAGCCGCGGUAAUACGUAGGUGGCAAGCGUUGUCCGGAAUUAUUGGGCGUAAAGCGCGCGCAGGCGGUCUUUUAAGUCUGAUGUGAAAGCCCCCGGCUCAACCGGGGAGGGUCAUUGGAAACUGGAGGACUUGAGUGCAGAAGAGGAGAGCGGAAUUCCACGUGUAGCGGUGAAAUGCGUAGAGAUGUGGAGGAACACCAGUGGCGAAGGCGGCUCUCUGGUCUGUAACUGACGCUGAGGCGCGAAA
rnacentral:rRNA from 1 species